CUAAGGUCCCAAAGUCAUGGUUAAGUGGGAAACGAUGUGGGAAGGCCCAGACAGCCAGGAUGUUGGCUUAGAAGCAGCCAUCAUUUAAAGAAAGCGUAAUAGCUCACUGGUCGAGUCGGCCUGCGCGGAAGAUGUAACGGGGCUAAACCAUGCACCGAAGCUGCGGCAGCGACACUGUGUGUUGUUGGGUAGGGGAGCGUUCUGUAAGCCUGUGAAGGUGUGUCGUGAGGCAUGCUGGAGGUAUCAGAAGUGCGAAUGCUGACAUAAGUAACGAUAAAGCGGGUGAAAAGCCCGCUCGCCGGAAGACCAAGGGUUCCUGUCCAACGUUAAUCGGGGCAGGGUGAGUCGACCCC
rnacentral:rRNA from 1 species